rnacentral:rRNA from 1 species
UACGUAGGGUGCGAGCGUUGUCCGGAAUUACUGGGCGUAAAGAGCUCGUAGGCGGUUCGGUAAGUCGGGUGUGAAACCUCCAGGCUCAACCUGGAGAGGCCACCUGAUACUGCUGUGACUCGAGUCCGGUAGGGGAGCGUGGAAUUCCUGGUGUAGCGGUGAAAUGCGCAGAUAUCAGGAGGAACACCGGUGGCGAAGGCGACUACCUGGCCUGUUCUUGACGCUGAGGCGCGAAAGCUAGGGGAGCAAACGGG